GCGGACGUCGUAUAGUGGUAAUACCUUAGCCUUCCAAGCUAAUGCUGCGAGUUCGAUUCUCGCCGUCCGCUCCA
rnacentral:tRNA from 2 species